rnacentral:rRNA from 1 species
ACUCCUACGGGAGGCAGCAGUGGGGAAUAUUGCACAAUGGGGAAAGCCCAUCGAUGCAGCCAUGCCGCGUGUGUGAAGAAGGCCAAUUCGGGUUGUAAAGCACUUUCAGCGAGGAGGAAAGGGUGUGUGUUAAUACCAUACAUCUGUGACGUUACUCGCAGAAGAAGCACCGGCUAACUCCGUGCCAGCAGCCGCGGUAAUACGGAGGGUGCGAGCGUUAAUCGGAAUUACUGGGCGUAAAGCGUGCGCAGGCGGUUUGUUAAGCGAGAUGUGAAAGCCCGC